rnacentral:rRNA from 1 species
GAGUUUGAUUAUGGCUCAGGAUGAACGCUAGCGAUAGGCUUAACACAUGCAAGUCGAGGGGCAUCACGGGAUUAGCUUGCUAAUUUUGGUGGCGACCGGCGUAAGGGUGCGUAACGCGUAUGCAACUUGCCUGUCAGUGGGGAAUAACCCGGAGAAAUCCGGACUAAUACCGCAUACACUUUAGUUUCCGCAUGGGGGCUUUAGGAAAGAUUUAUUGCUGACAGAUAGGCAUGCGUUCCAUUAGAUAGUUGGUGAGGUAACGGCUCACCAAGUCAACGAUGGAUAGGGGAGCUGAGAGGCUUAUCCCCCACACUGGAACUGAGACACGGUCCAGACUCCUACGGGAGGCAGCAGUGAGGAAUAUUGGUCAAUGGGCGAGAGCCUGAACCAGCCAAGUCGCGUGAAGGAAGACGGUCCUAUGGAUUGUAAACUUCUUUAGUAGGUGAGUACAAGCAGUUACGUGUAGCUGUAAGCAAGU